GAUGAACGCUAGCGAUAGGCCUAACACAUGCAAGUCGAGGGGCAGCAUAGAGUAGCAAUACUUUGAUGGCGACCGGCGCACGGGUGAGUAACACGUAUGCAACCUACCUACAUCAGGGGAAUAACCCGGAGAAAUUCGGACUAAUACCGCAUAAUACAGGGAUGCCGCAUGGCAAUAUUUGUUAAAGAUUUAUCGGAUGUAGAUGGGCAUGCGUUCCAUUAGCUAGUUGGUAAGGUAACGGCUUACCAAGGCAACGAUGGAUAGGGGAACUGGGAGGUUUGUCCCCCACACUGGAACUGAGACACGGACCAGACUCCUACGGGAGGGAGCAGUGAGGAAUAUUGGUCAAUGGACGAGAGUCUGAACCAGCCAAAUCGCGUGAAGGAAGACUGCCCUACGGGUUGUAAACUUCUUUUGUACAGGAAUAAAAGACAUUACGUGUAAUGUAUUGCAUGUACUGUACGAAUAAGCAUCGGCUAACUCCGUGCCAGCCGCCGCAGUAA
rnacentral:rRNA from 1 species